rnacentral:tRNA from 1 species
CAAAGAAUAGUUUAAUUAAGAAUACUAGCUUUGGGGGUUAGUGGUAGGGGUUUGAGUCCCUUUUCUUUGA